rnacentral:rRNA from 1 species
UACGGGGGGGGUAAGCGUUGUUCGGAAUUACUGGGCGUAAAGGGCUCGUAGGCGGCCAACUAAGUCGGACGUGAAAUCCCUCAGCUUAACUGGGGAACUGCGUCCGAUACUGGAUGGCUUGGAUUUGGGAGAGGGAUGCGGAAUUCCAGGUGUAGCGGUGAAAUGGCGUAGAUAUCUGGAGGAACACCGGUGGCGAAGGCGGCAUCCUGGACCAAUAUUGACGCUGAGGAGCGAAAGCCAGGGGAGCGAAACGGGG